rnacentral:rRNA from 1 species
UACGUAGGGUGCAAGCGUUGUCCGGAAUUAUUGGGCGUAAAGAGCUCGUAGGCGGUCUGUCGCGUCGGCUGUGAAAUCCCGGAGCUCAACUCCGGGUCUGCAGUCGAUACGGGCAAACUGGAGUACUGCAGGGGAGACUGGAAUUCCUGGUGUAGCGGUGAAAUGCGCAGAUAUCAGGAGGAACACCGGUGGCGAAGGCGGGACUCUGGGCCGAUACUGACGCUGAGGAGCGAAAGCGUGGGGAGCGAACAGG